rnacentral:rRNA from 1 species
UGUGCUAAGGUAGCAUAAUAAUUUGUCCUAUAAUAGAAGGCUGGAAUGAAUGAGUUGACGAUAGAUAUACUUUAUCCUAAGGUGAGUAUUUGAAUUUAAUAUGUAAAUAAGAAAGUUUAGUUAAUAUUAGUGGGACGAUAAGACCCUGUGAAAUUUAAUUUGUAGUGUUGUUUUUUUAGAAGAUUUUAAUAAGGAUAUACGAAUUGAACUGGGGCGGUAAAUCGAAAUGUCUGGAUUAAUUAUAACACGGUUUGUGAAAAUUUAGGUCUAUUUAGAUUAUAGAAAAAAUUACUCCAGGGAUAACAGCACAAUUUUUUUAGCAGAUCUUAUACACAAAAAAGACUUGUGACCUCGAUGUUGAAUUGAAGAGUCUAGAAUAAGCAA